rnacentral:lncRNA from 1 species
GCAAUUUAGGAAGGGGCAGAAGGGUAGUUCACAAGACUACCACAAGAGGGCAUGCUGGCCAAGACUUUGAGUCUGUAGCGGGUCCGUGGCUUUUUGAAAAAGGAGCAAGAGGGGGACUUCCCUGUAAAGGAACAUGCCUCUGUACACUGUAAGAUGUGUCUAUUCUGCUUCUAACUUUCACCUUGUUUUGUUUCUUAGUUUUAACAGUUUUAUGUUAUUUAUUUGAGGGGGUAGGAGAGAAAGAGAGCAAGCUCCAAUUUGCUGAUCUGCUGGUUAAGCCCCCAAAUGCCUGCAUUAGAGAGGGAUGGGGACCUGGGACUCAUGCUCAGAAAUGAGGACUCCAUCCAGAUCUCUCGAGCAGGUAGCGUGACCCAGUUUCUUACGCCAGCACCACUGCCUCCUGAAGUUCGUAUUCUCAGGGAGCUACAGCAGGAGUUGGUAUCAUACCCAGGAACUCUGAUGUGGGGCACAGAGCAGAAACCUGGAUUCAGUAUUUACUUUGAAGAGGAGAGGAAAUCUGAAAGAAGUCCACCUAGGCGUUUGGAAUCCUUGUACUAUUACUUCUCUGGCCAUAUGAAAACUGAAGGUCACAGAAUCAUACAUUUAUACAUUGCAACUUAAAAUGAAGUCCAUUCAGAAGUCAUGAAACAUCCAUGCACCAGGACCAGGAGAGAAGGUAGUAGAGUUCUUGCAUUCAUCCACAAUUUAUCAAUAAUAUCAGCUCAUUGGUAGUUAUUUCCACUCAUUUUCUUCCUGGUGAAGCAGAAAUGUUUUGGUGCUAUUUCUAUUUCUGAUAUUAGGACACUGUGAACAGUGCUUCCUGCUCACCUCCACCUCCCUGAACAGAAGAGGUCAGCUCAUUUCUUACGAAGCUCUGCCCUCCACCACCUAGGAGAUAACCUAGUUAUCUAUGCUUCUUUGAAGAACUUAACGAAGAACUCAAAGUGCAUCAUUUUAUUCUUCAGAGGAUGAUUUUGCUUCCUACUUUGUAGUCAAAAAAUUUCUUGCCACAUGAUUUUCCUUUUAACAGAUAAAACAUCUUGGUGAUUUUGCUAAAGCUAAAAAUAGAGUCUCUAAAAAAAGGAGAGUCACAUUAUUUAUAAAUAGCAACCUUCAACUCUGGGGCUUAUUGGGUCAGAAAGAGCAUUUUAAACUGAAAUGCAGAAUAAAAAUAAAUCCAUUUAGCUGGUUUGGCA